rnacentral:lncRNA from 1 species
ACUUAGUCUCCCUUUAAUCUAAAUAUAGAGAAUAUCACUCUUAUAUUUGGUAACUGAUAGACAUUAGACACUGGACAGUGAUCAUUUUUCAAUUGCUGUGAAACAAAGUUUAUGCAAGUUUUAUGCUUUUUCUUGUUGUGAUGGGUGAAAGGUGAAAACUUUAUUGCAAAAUUACAAUUGGAAUCACCCCAGCACAAAAUGACUAAUACCCUUUUCACUAUUUAGUGAGAGAAUGCCGGGAUACUUAUGAUUCCGUAGAGGUGGCUCUAAGCUUCUAAGUAAUAGAGGAUUGGAUGUAGUUAAAAUUGUUAGCUUUAUGUUGAGUUGUCCACCCCAUUCGUUGAGAGAAUCAGGUUCGAUUUUGAGUGAGGACGGGUUUGUUUUGAAUUUUGAUUUAGAUGAGGGCCUAUGCAAAAGAAUUAACCUCCCUGCUGCAAUGGGGAAUGCAUAUUAAUACCUUUGAAGAGGUAUCAGUACCAUAACGGGAGGUGUGCUAAUAUGUAAGACCUCAUCAACUCUAAGGCCAUCUCCAACCGAAGGCUGGCCAGAGGGCUCAUUUGAGCCCUUUGGCCCUCCAAGAUUCUCCAAGAUAUUAAUAUUUUAAUGAACAGUACAGGGCCAUAUUUGCCUCUGUCUCCAACCGAGGGCCAGAGGGCCAAAGGACUCGUUUUAGCCCUGUCACAAAAAACCGUCUCCAACCGAGGGCCAAAGGGCCAUAGGGUCAAACAUAAUUUAUUAUUUAAAUUUAAAAACUACAACAACUUAAAUUUAAAAACAACAACUUAUAUUUAAACACUACAAAUUAAAUUUAAAAACAACAUUAACUUAAAUUUAAAAAUUACGACGACUUAAAUUUAAUAUCCAUAAUCAAUAUCAUCUUCAUCAUCCGGCAUUGUAGGAGUAUAGUCAGAGGUAAACAAUUGCCGCCGAACCAUAAUUUCUUUUUUUUUCCUAUCAAAAUAGGCCUUACUCAUUGGAGUGUAAUUCGAAGUGUUCCUUUCCAUAUUCUUAUCAUCCAUCUCUUCUUGUAUUUGUUUGGCUCGCUCUUCAUGUCUACACUUCCUUUCUUCCGCCUCACGGGCAUUUUGCUCCGCCAGUAAUCGAAAUGAGGCCGCCACUUCAUGUUGAGCGGCGUAAUCAGCAUUUGCCUUGCCCUUUUCCCUCAACCUUCGGGCCUUGUUUCGUCCCAUAGCCCUAGGUGAAGAAAUUUCGGACGGAGUCGGAUUUUCUACCCUUGUUUGUUGAAUGGUAGGAGAUCCAUCUUCAUUCAUAUCUACAGAUGGGGAUGCAGCCUCCAAAUAAUCCACUCUAUGUUGAGGUGGAUCUUCAAAUAACACCCACCCUUUACAAAUUUCCCAACAACCGUGAAACUGAAAGGGUUUUGAGCUGCUCUCCAUAUACAAUUUCUCCGCUUGGCGUACCUAGAAAAUAUAAUUAAAAAAAAUUUUAGGAAAUUUAAUUCACGAAAUUAAUGUAAUAUAAUUAAACAUUUAAAAUAAACUGUAAAAACACUAACUUCGUCAUAGUAAUUGGCGCCGCUUUUCAUGUCUACUUGCUGCUGCUAAUAGUGCUUGAUGCCAUUUAUUUCAAACUUGGAUGAAGAUGUUUCUUCCAUCUUGAAGAACAACUUUCGUGGUUUCGGGUAUUUCGGUGGAAUGGUGCCUUCGUAGAACUCUAAGUAUUUUUUGGACACACGAGUCCAAACACCUUCACUUGUUUGAGAAAUCCCCCUCACACUAUCUUCUGAGAUCCAUCUAUAAGCCUUGCAAAGAGCUUCAUCUUCUUUUCGGGUCCAAGCCCUACCUUUCAUUGCAGAUGAGGCCAUUUUUUUUGAAAAAAAAUGAAGGAAAUAUUGAAGGAAAUAUUGCAAAUGAAAUGAAGAAAUAUUAUAGAUGAAGGAAAUAUUGAAACAAAUAUUAUAGAUGAAGGAAAUAUUGGAAAAUAUAUUGAAAUAAAUAUUGAAAAAUUGAAACAAAUAUUAUAGAUGAAGGAAAUAUUAGAAAAUAUAUUGAAGGAAAUAUUGAGAAAUAUAUUGAAGGAAAUAUUGAAAAAUAUUGAAGAAGGAAAUAUUGCAAAUGAAGUGAAGAAUUGAAAGAACUUCACCAUAUUUAUAGAAGAAAAAAAUGUUUAAAAAAAAUUAAAAAAAAAAAAAAAAAAAAACCAACGGCUAGUUGCAACGGCUAGCUGACUCAGCUAGCCGUUACAUUAAAAAACAUUUUAAACUAUUAGUGUCGGUUAGUAGAACUAUUAAAAAAAAAAAAAGCUCUUUAAUGCUGUCGGUUUUAACCGACAACAAUAGGAAACAUUAAAAAAAAAAAUAGCCAGCCCUCCAGCCCUCCAGCCCUCUCCGAUCCCGUGGGGCCCUCGCAGAUUCCAGAGCCCUCUGGCCUAGCCCUCGGUUGGAGACGGUUUUAGGGUUAUUUUCAGCCCUCUGGCCCUCUGGACCCUUUGGUUGGAGAUGGCCUAAUUGCCCCUGUGCCAGUUUGUUGGGAUUAUGCUCUGUUAAUUAGGCUGCAGUUUAAAUUUGUGUGUUUUCAGCGAUUGG